UGGGGAAUCAUGGUCAAUGGGCGAAAGCCUGAACCUGCGACGCCGCGUGAGUGAUGAAGGUCGUAAGAUCGUAAAACUCUUUUCAGGGAUCUUAAAGCACAACCGUCAACAACGGCUGUGUGUGACUCUCCCUGGAAGAAGCCCCAGCCAACUACGUGCCAGCAGCCGCGGUAAUACGUAGGGUACAAGCGUUGCUCGGAAUUACUGGGCGUAAAGGGAGCGCAUGCGGUUUUGUAUGUCGUAGGUGAAAUACUCCGGCUUAACUGGAGAAACGCCUGCGAAACUGCAAGACUAGAGGACAGGAGAGGUGGACGGAAUUCCAGGUGUAGCGGUGAAAUGCGUAGAUAUCGGGAGGAACGCUGAAGGCGAAGGCAAUCCACUGGACUGUUCCUGACUCUCAUGCUCGAAAGCUAGGGGAUCACACG
rnacentral:rRNA from 1 species